UCUCUGGUGGCUUAGGUGGCAAAGAAUCUGCCUGCAAUGCAGGAGACCCAGGUUCAAUGCCUGGGUUGGGAA
rnacentral:tRNA from 1 species